rnacentral:rRNA from 1 species
AAUCCAUAGGUUAAUGAGGCGAACCGGGGGAACUGAAACAUCUAAGUACCCCGAGGAAAAGAAAUCAACCGAGAUUCCCCCAGUAGCGGCGAGCGAACGGGGAGGAGCCCAGAGCCUGAAUCAGCAUGUGUGUUAGUGGAAGCGUCUGGAAAGGCGCGCGAUACAGGGUGACAGCCCCGUACACAAAAGCGCAUGUGCUGUGAGCUCGAUGAGUAGGGCGGGACACGUGGUAUCCUGUCUGAAUAUGGGGGGACCAUCCUCCAAGGCUAAAUACUCCUGACUGACCGAUAGUGAACCAGUACCGUGAGGGAAAGGCGAAAAGAACCCCGGCGAGGGGAGUGAAAAAGAACCUGAAACCGUGUACGUACAAGCAGUGGGAGCACAGGUUUACCUGUGUGACUGCGUACCUUUUGUAUAAUGGGUCAGCGACUUAUAUUCUGUAGCAAGGUUAACCGAAUAGGGGAGCCGGAGGGAAACCGAGUCUUAAUUGGGCGUUAAGUUGCAGGGUAUAGACCCGAAACCCGGUGAUCUAGCCAUGGGCAGGUUGAAGGUUGGGUAACACUAACUGGAGGACCGAACCGACUAAUGUUGAAAAAUUAGCGGAUGACCUGUGGCUGGGGGUGAAAGGCCAAUCAAACCGGGAGAUAGCUGGUUCUCCCCGAAAGCUAUUUAGGUAGCGCCUCGUGAAUUCAUCUCCGGGGGUAGAGCACUGUUUCGGCUAGGGGGCCAUCCCGGCUUACCAACCCGAUGCAAACUGCGAAUACCGGAGAAUGUUAUCACGGGAGACACACGGCGGGUGCUAACGUCCGUCGUGAAGAGGGAAACAACCCAGACCGCCAGCUAAGGUCCCAAAGUCAUGGUUAAGUGGGAAACGAUGUGGGAAGGCCCAGACAGCCAGGAUGUUGGCUUAGAAGCAGCCAUCAUUUAAAGAAAGCGUAAUAGCUCACUGGUCGAGUCGGCCUGCGCGGAAGAUGUAACGGGGCUAAACCAUGCACCGAAGCUGCGGCAGCGACACUGUGUGUUGUUGGGUAGGGGAGCGUUCUGUAAGCCUGUGAAGGUGUGUCGUGAGGCAUGCUGGAGGUAUCAGAAGUGCGAAUGCUGACAUAAGUAACGAUAAAGCGGGUGAAAAGCCCGCUCGCCGGAAGACCAAGGGUUCCUGUCCAACGUUAAUCGGGGCAGGGUGAGUCGACCCCUAAGGCGAGGCCGAAAGGCGUAGUCGAUGGGAAACGGGUUAAUAUUCCCGUACUUGGUGUUACUGCGAAGGGGGGACGGAGAAGGCUAUGUUGGCCGGGCGACGGUUGUCCCGGUUUAAGCGUGUAGGUGUGUGUUCCAGGUAAAUCCGGUUCACUUUAACACUGAGGCGUGACGACGAGGCACUACGGUGCUGAAGCAACAAAUGCCCUGCUUCCAGGAAAAGCCUCUAAGCAUCAGGUAACAUCAAAUCGUACCCCAAACCGACACAGGUGGUCAGGUAGAGAAUACCAAGGCGCUUGAGAGAACUCGGGUGAAGGAACUAGGCAAAAUGGUGCCGUAACUUCGGGAGAAGGCACGCUGACACGUAGGUGAAGUGAUUUACUCAUGGAGCUGAAGUCAGUCGAAGAUACCAGCUGGCUGCAACUGUUUAUUAAAAACACAGCACUGUGCAAACACGAAAGUGGACGUAUACGGUGUGACGCCUGCCCGGUGCCGGAAGGUUAAUUGAUGGGGUCAGCGCAAGCGAAGCUCCUGAUCGAAGCCCCGGUAAACGGCGGCCGUAACUAUAACGGUCCUAAGGUAGCGAAAUUCCUUGUCGGGUAAGUUCCGACCUGCACGAAUGGCGUAAUGAUGGCCAGGCUGUCUCCACCCGAGACUCAGUGAAAUUGAACUCGCUGUGAAGAUGCAGUGUACCCGCGGCAAGACGGAAAGACCCCGUGAACCUUUACUAUAGCUUGACACUGAACAUUGAGCCUUGAUGUGUAGGAUAGGUGGGAGGCUUUGAAGUGUGGACGCCAGUCUGCAUGGAGCCGACCUUGAAAUACCACCCUUUAAUGUUUGAUGUUCUAACGUGGACCCGUUACCCGGGUUGCGGACAGUGUCUGGUGGGUAGUUUGACUGGGGCGGUCUCCUCCUAAAGAGUAACGGAGGAGCACGAAGGUUGGCUAAUCCUGGUCGGACAUCAGGAGGUUAGUGCAAUGGCAUAAGCCAGCUUGACUGCGAGCGUGACGGCGCGAGCAGGUGCGAAAGCAGGUCAUAGUGAUCCGGUGGUUCUGAAUGGAAGGGCCAUCGCUCAACGGAUAAAAGGUACUCCGGGGAUAACAGGCUGAUACCGCCCAAGAGUUCAUAUCGACGGCGGUGUUUGGCACCUCGAUGUCGGCUCAUCACAUCCUGGGGCUGAAGUAGGUCCCAAGGGUAUGGCUGUUCGCCAUUUAAAGUGGUACGCGAGCUGGGUUUAGAACGUCGUGAGACAGUUCGGUCCCUAUCUGCCGUGGGCGCUGGAGAACUGAGGGGGGCUGCUCCUAGUACGAGAGGACCGGAGUGGACGCAUCACUGGUGUUCGGGUUGUCAUGCCAAUGGCACUGCCCGGUAGCUAAAUGCGGAAGAGAUAAGUGCUGAAAGCAUCUAAGCACGAAACUUGCCCCGAGAUGAGUUCUCCCUGAGACUUAGAGUCUCCUGAA